rnacentral:lncRNA from 1 species
AACAUUAAGAAAAUUGAAAUCAUAUCAAGCAUCUUUUCUGACCACAAUGCUAUACGACCAGAAAUCAACAACAAGAAAAAAACUGCAAAAAACACAAACACAUGGAGACUCAACAACAUGCCCAAAUAGUUAUAUAACAAAACUAUUCGCCAGUUUAACCAGAAAAAAUCUAACAAAGAGAACUUUAGCUAGAUACCCCGAAACCAGACGAGAGGUUGAAACAUAGAAGCAAUAAUGUUAAUAUGAGUAACAAGAAGCCUUUCUCCUCACACACGCUUACAUCAGUAACUAAUAAUAUACUGAUAAUUAACAACCAAUAAACCAAAAUAACACUAAAACGUUUAUUAAUUA